ACGCCGUGUUCAUCCAGGUUUCCAUUUCCAUUUCCCACCUGCCCCUCUAUCCUUCAACCUCAUUUCUUCAAUCCCACACCAGUAGGGCGCCCCACAGCCUGCUUCCUAUAUCCAAGAUGAAAUCCAUAAACAUAUCCAUAUUAUGAAUUUCUGGCCACGCGCAAUUCUAGUUGCGGUUUUGGGAUAGGAGAUCGAAAUUCCGCUCCGUGUUCGCUCCUUGUCGAAACGUAGAUGCAUGGGAUUUUCCUCUCGCCCCGCUCUGCUUGGGGGGGAUGCCGCAAUCCGCACAGACAGAUAGAUGCUUCCUAAAAAGAUGAAGUCAAGGCAAGGAAGCAGUGAUUCAAGCGGCGACGCGGCCGGUCGAGGAAAUGUGACCCUCUUCGGUAUUUUGGAGAGCUGUUUUUAUUACCGGGCUCUCCCAAGUAGAUGUUUUUCAUUCGGAUCGUCCAUGCCAAGGUUCUAAGACCUUGACGCACCGUCAUGCUUUUCACGCGCCCACCGGCUUCACGGGAAAGGGAAUGUGAAGCGUAAUGUUGUCGUGCGGUCGCCGUGCUUGGCUGCUGAGCAGCAUCUGCCACUCGCCCUGCGUGAUGGGCGUGACGUCCGAUGCACUCAGUGGAGUUCUCGGGCGCAGUCGCUUAAUGCCAUCCGCAUUCUUUCUCUUCUUUUGAGGCUGUUGCUGUGCCUGCUGCUGUCCGUUGGGUGGUGGAGGGGCGGCGGACGGAGACAUCUUCUGUGGGAGCACGAUGCCCGUCCGGGCAUACUUGGCCUGAUACUCGUUGGCAACCUCGACCAGCAGGUGCUCGGGAACUGACAGGUCCUCGUAGAUCCUGUUGAAGAAAGCCAGGCUGAAUGGCCGGCCCUUGUAGUCUGCGACGGUCUGCCUCAGCAAUUUCACGCAGGAUUUAAUGUAAAGGUGGUCGGGGAUGCCGUUCUGGCGCGCAGCGCCUUGCGAGUAUGCGUGCAGUCUGCACUUGAUGGUAUAGAGACGAUCAAUGCUUAGGAGGGUCAGGCCUUCCUGGCUAAAGAGGACGUCGUUCUGUAAAAUGGACUGGCGGAGGAGAUAGUCGUUGCAGUUCUCGUUCAGGGACUGUCGUUGUUGGCUGCGCUGGAGGGCAUUGGACCAGGCGGGGCCGAGAGAAAAUUUCUUCGAGGCUUUCUGGACAAUGCGGUGAAGCGUCCGCCAUGUCUGCUGAUCUAAUGGGGCAAUGGGGAUGAGAGUGAGUUCGGGUUGGUGGGCGAAGGGGAGAGGUGUGCCGCAGCCGACGAGGAUGGUUAAGUGAGUGCAAGCACCAAGCUUGUUGGAGAUAUACUCUAGAGCGGGGAGAACUGUGGUGGGAAGGGCUCCGUCACCGAAGUUUGAGUCAAGAUCAGGACUUAAGGGUUGAGAGAUCAUGGAUGUAGUUAUAAGGCGGGAGCGAGUGUCCGGGAUGUAUGUGGCGAUUGGAUUGGGGAGGCGGAGGACACCCAUUGUGGAUGUUGUAUAUGCUGAAUCGUAUAUGAUAGAAAGAUGGUGAUGUCAGGUAUGAAUAUACAUCUACUCAGUACAUGGGAUAAAUCAUGCUGGUAAAGGAGAUGAGUACCUAUGGGAUGAGGAAGCCUUUUAUUUAAUCCAGCCAGGCACCAGAAGAAGGCCGCAUUGACGGGCGUAGCCCCGCCAAUGCAGCUUGUCGAGAGAAAGCUUUCCGGAACCUCUGAACCUCUGACCCUCCAGCAGCUACUGCACUGAUAACGCAUCUGAACAACCCGCUAGCCAUUCAGCAGGCCAAUGCGCUGCUCCUAUUGUGCUUCCAAGCAGAGAAAACCGCCAUCUCUGCCAAAUCAGCCAUCGGUGCCAUCGGAAUAUGCAGCCAUCAAGUGCGAUUUCACCUCGUAUCCUCAAACCAGCUAACUAACUUACUUACCACGCACGACCAUGCAAUCCACCCACUGUGGAUUGCUAAAAAUAAAACGGAUUGCCAUGUGCUACGACGAGGAGCUCGUUGAGGAUAAAAAAAGAAUCAAAUGAUGGCGGGAUCUUGCAUUUCACUGUAUAAUUGACAAUUGGCCUGUUACUUGCAUGUUAUCACUAUCAUUAUUGGGGAACACGGUCGUCAACAGAGAUGCACGUUUAAGGGGUUGGAUUUCGCUGCUGGUGGACUGUAUACUAUAAACUAUAUACCCCGAGGGCAGUAGCUCUAACCUGGAACCUUUUUGUUCCCCAUGUACAUGUACAUGUACAGCUCAGGGCUCAAGAGUCGACGCUGUGUUCGAUUAUCGAUGG
rnacentral:sRNA from 1 species